GCGGCCUAUCAGCUUGUUGGUGGGGUAGUGGCUUACCAAGGCUUUGACGGGUAGCCGGCCUGAGAGGGUGACCGGCCACAUUGGGACUGAGAUACGGCCCAGACUCCUACGGGAGGCAGCAGUGGGGAAUAUUGCACAAUGGGCGGAAGCCUGAUGCAGCAACGCCGCGUGCGGGAUGACGGCCUUCGGGUUGUAAACCGCUUUCGCCUGUGACGAAGCGUGAGUGACGGUAAUGGGUAAAGAAGCACCGGCUAACUACGUGCCAGCAGCCGCGGUGAUACGUAGGGUGCGAGCGUUGUCCGGAUUUAUUGGGCGUAAAGGGCUCGUAGGUGGUUGAUCGCGUCGGAAGUGUAAUCUUGGGGCUUAACCCUGAGCGUGCUUUCGAUACGGGUUGACCUGAGGAAGGUAGGGGAGACUGGAAUUCCU
rnacentral:rRNA from 1 species